CCCACUAUGCCUGGCCGUAAACCAUAACUUACAUCCAAAUCGCCAGGGAAUUACGAGCUUAAAGCUUAAAACCCAAAGGACUUGACGGUGCCCCAUAUCCCCCUAGAGGAGCCUGUCCUAUAAUCGACAAUCCCCGUUUAACCUCACCACUUUUAGCCAAUCAGUCUGUAUACCUCCGUCGUCAGCUUACCACGUGAGCGACCAUAGUGAGCUUAGUGUCCAUCCGUCAAAACGUCAGGUCAAGGUGCAACUUAUAAAGUGGGAAGAGAUGGGCUACAUUCUCUAAUCUAGAGAAUACGGAAGACUACCUAUGAAACCUAGUCGGAAGGCGGAUUUAGAAGUAAAAAGAGAUAAGUAAAGCUCUUUUUAACCCGGCACUGGGGUGUGUACACACCGCCCGUCACCCUCCUCGAAGCCCAGAAAACAGUAUUUAACUCACUUAAGCAAAAUAGAAGAGGCAAGUCGUAACAUGGUAAGCGCACCGGAAGGUGCGCUUGGAAA
rnacentral:rRNA from 1 species